rnacentral:rRNA from 1 species
GACGAACCGAGCGAACGUUAUUCGGAAUCACUUGGGCGUUAAAGGGCGCGUAGGCGGGCCGUCAAGUCAGGGGUGAAAGCCCCCAGCUCAACUGGGGAAGUGCCUCUGAUACUGACGGCCUCGAGGGAGAUAGGGGCGUGCGGAACUUCCGGUGGAGCGGUGAAUGACGUAGAUAUCGGAAGGAACACCGGGUGGCGAAAGCGGCGACGCGUGGAUCCUCGUUCUGACGCG